UACGUAGGGUGCAAGCGUUGUCCGGAAUUAUUGGGCGUAAAGAGCUCGUAGGCGGUUCGUCGCGUCGGCUGUGAAAUCCCGAGGCUCAACCUCCAGCCUGCAGUGGGUACGGGCAAACUAGAGUGCGGUAGGGGAGAUUGGAAUUCCUGGUGUAGCGGUGGAAUGCGCAGAUAUCAGGAGGAACACCGAUGGCGAAGGCAGAUCUCUGGGCCGUAACUGACGCUGAGGAGCGAAAGCAUGGGGAGCGAACAGG
rnacentral:rRNA from 1 species